rfam:Brenneria goodwinii strain OBR1 genome assembly, contig: Contig
AGAUAUGAACGUGGGCUCCCGGUCGGGGGCCUGUGCAAACGAAACAGUUUUGGCUGAAUACCCCAUUGAUUUCAAUAUGCAGGACGGCGGUAACGGGACGCAUCCCGAUAAGCCUGUCAAUAAGCGGAUUCGCCUCUGCAAAUUGAAACAUGACGUGUAUAGCUGAUAUUAGCAAAGCAGGGCUGUUCCGUGUGCUGUUGUUUUUGACGCAUUGUUGAUCUAUUGGUAACACAUGAAUCCCAUCCUAAUAAACCGUUUACAAAGAAAGCUGGGCUAUACUUUUCAGC